rnacentral:rRNA from 1 species
UACGAAGGGGGCUAGCGUUGUUCGGAAUUACUGGGCGUAAAGCGCGCGCAGGCGGCUAUCCAAGUCAGUGGUGAAAGCCCGGAGCUCAACUCCGGAACUGCCAUUGAAACUGUUUAGCUGGAGUAUGAGAGAGGUGAGUGGAAUUCCCAGUGUAGAGGUGAAAUUCGUAGAUAUUGGGAAGAACACCGGUGGCGAAGGCGGUUCUCUGGGCCUUACCUGACGCUGAGGAGCGAAAGCGUGGGGAGCGAACAGG